UCCUUUUCAGGGGGAAGAGGAAGGACGGUACCCUUGGAAUAAGCGUCGGCUAACUACGUGCCAGCAGCCGCGGUAAGACGUAGGACGCAAGCGUUAUCCGGAUUUACUGGGCGUAAAGCGUCUGUAGGCGGAUCGAUAAGUUGGGCGUGAAAGCUCCGUGCUUAACGCGGAGAGGUCGUUCAAGACUGUCGAACUAGAGGGCAUCAGAGGAGCAUGGAAUUUCCGGUGUAGCGGUAAAAUGCGCAGAUAUCGGAAGGAACACCAGUGGCGAAGGCGGUGCUCUGGGGUGUACCUGACGCUGAGAGACGAAAGCUAGGGGAGCGAACAGGAUUAGAGACCCUGGUAGUCCAAGCCCUAAACGAUGGAUGCUAGAUGUGGGGUCGAGAAGACUCUGUGUCGCAGUUAACGCGCUAAGCAUCCCGCCUGGGGAUUACGGCCGCAAGGCUAAAACUCAAACGAACUGACGGGGCCCCGCACAAGCAGCGGAGCGUGUGGUUUAAUUCGAUGCUACACGAAGAACCUUACCUGGGUUUGACAUGUAGGUGGUAGAGAAGCGAAAGCGGAUCGACCCUUCGGGGAGCCUACACAGGUGCUGCAUGGCUGUCGUCAGCUCGUGCCGUGAGGUGUCGGGUUAAGUCCCGUAACGAGCGCAACCCUUGCCCUUAGUUACAAGUGUCUAAGGGGACUGCCGGCGGUAAGCCGGAGGAAGGUGGGGAUGACGUCAAGUCAGCAUGGCCCUUAUAUCCAGGGCUACACACACGCUACAAUGGUCAGUACAAAGGGCAGCGAAGCCGCGAGGUGAAGCGAAUCCCAACAAAGCUGAUCUAAGUUCGGAUUGCAGGCUGCAACUCGCCUGCAUGAAGCUGGAGUUGCUAGUAACCGCGCGUCAGCUAUAGUGCGGUGAAUACGUUCCCGGGGCUUGUACACACCGCCCGUCACGUCAUGGGAGUCGGUAACGCCUGAAGCUGGGAGUCUGGCCCUCACAGGGGGGACCCCAUCUAAGGCGGGGCUGGCAACUGGGACGAAG
rnacentral:rRNA from 1 species